rnacentral:lncRNA from 1 species
GAGAACUUGCAGAAGGAAGGUGGAAUGGCAUCAGAUUAGAUGAAGAAGAGAACAAGGUAGUCAGUGAGGAAUAGGCACCACCUGGAGAAGGUGCAUCCGUGCUGAAUAACUGACCUGUGCUGGGAUGCUGGACAUGGCCAUGUGCAGAAAGCAGCUGCCUAUGAAAAUUUACCUGGGUAAGUGGGACACAGAAGGAAAAAUGAUGUACAAUGAAAACUGGAAGGAUUUCCAAGGAAAGAAAGAAUGACAGAGCCUGUAGAUGAAGACAUACCUGCAUGUUAAUGAGUAAAAAUCUGACCAGCAGUGAUCUUGUUAGAGAGAUAUGUAGACAAACAGUACUCUUCAAAUGUCAGGAGAGUUUGGAUUCAUCACCUAUCCCACUGCCCUGAGACCAAGAUCAGAAGUGAUUUCAUUCAUGAAGCCUCACUGCCAGAGCUCGUUAGUGAAGUGUGACAACAAGAGAAUAGAAAAAGAAAGAAAGAAAUCCCUCAAAGGGAAAGAGAAAAAGAAGGAAAAAGAAGGCAAAGAAGGCAAACCUGAUAUUCCGUCAGGGUACUGAGCAAAAGGCACCAGGAACCACUGGUGCCCACCUCCCAGAAUGCAGUUCCUUAGUUUGGGGACAGAACAGUCCCAGAGAGAAGCGCACUGGUGUUCCGAUCGGUAGUGACAGGACGAUCCUGAGUGAACAGAAGAUGAAUCAGUGGGUCAUCUUAGCACACAAUUGACCCCUACCUGAUGACACAUGGAGGAAGGCAGCCAGAAUGCUGGUGGCAGCCAUCCCUGGCAACGUGUGAUGGAUGGAGAUUUUGUGCCAAGAGUGAGCAUGGACUAUAGGCUCCCAACAACAGAUCU